rnacentral:rRNA from 1 species
AACGAACGCUGGCGGCAGGCCUAACACAUGCAAGUCGAGCGAGGACUUCGGUCCUAGCGGCGGACGGGUGAGUAACGCGUGGGAACGUGCCCUUUGCUUCGGAAUAGCCCUGGGAAACUGGGAGUAAUACCGGAUGAGCCCUUUGGGGGAAAGAUUUAUCGGCGAAGGAUCGGCCCGCGUUGGAUUAGGUAGUUGGUGGGGUAAUGGCCUACCAAGCCGACGAUCCAUAGCUGGUUUGAGAGGAUGAUCAGCCACACUGGGACUGAGACACGGCCCAGACUCCUACGGGGGGCAGCAGUGGGGAAUCUUAGACAAUGGGGGAAACCCUGAUCUAGCCAUGCCGCGUGAGCGAUGAAGGCCUUAGGGUUGUAAAGCUCUUUCAGCUGGGAAGAUAAUGACGGUACCAGCAGAAGAAGCCCCGGCUAACUCCGU